rnacentral:rRNA from 1 species
UACGGGGGGGGCAAGCGUUGUUCGGAAUUACUGGGCGUAAAGGGCUCGUAGGCGGCCAACUAAGUCGGAUGUGAAAUCCCCAGGCUCAACUUGGGAACUGCAUCCGAUACUGGAUGGCUUGAGAUUGGGAGAGGGAUGCGGAAUUCCAGGUGUAGCGGUGAAAUGCGUAGAUAUCUGGAGGAACACCGGUGGCGAAGGCGGCAUCCUGGACCAACACUGACACUGAGGAGCGAAAGCCAGGGGAGCAAACGGG